GUCAUGGUUCAUUAACUCAGAACUGGACUUCACAUCAUGGAUUCUAAACACUGAAUCCUUGCGAGAGUUACACGAGGGCCAAAUCUCCUCCCUGUUCUCGGAAGCACCAGUUUUUUUCUCUUUUUUACCUAAUCAAGAACUGAAUACAUUUUGCACACUCCUACUUAACUGGUCUUUUUGCACAAGAAGCUGCGUUCUUUCUCCUUUCCACUCUUAUGCUUUUAAAAAUAAAAAAGGAGGAAUGGAGCAGGAACAGCCAAAAUAAUAAUAACUCCCCCCUGCUCUGAAUUAACUUGUCAGACAUUCCCUUUCCUUCCCCCUCUCUCCAUCUUAUGAAAGAUCUGCCAACGUCUUGAUGCUUUGAAGUCAUGUCUGUUUUCCAAACUGUUCUAGCACAUCCCACCCUGCUUUGGCCCUUUUCUGUACACGAUGGGCCAGAAUCUGUGGGGCCUCAUUAUGGUAAAAUGGUUGAUAAUCACAGCAGUGUGAGCACAGGAAAAUAACACCAAGAAACCCUCAUCCUGCUCUGUGGGAUCACACGACUAUGUCCUAUGUUCCUGACUGGCUAGAGACUCCCAGAAAAGAAGAUGUUGAAGCUUGGGCAUGUCAGUGGAAGUUUCACAUCAUCGCCUGCAUGCAGACCCCCAUGACUCCCGGACCCCUCCAUCCUCUGCAGAAUCUGGCUUUGAGGGCCCUUUAUUCUCUGAUCUGUCCCUUUGAAUUCUGCUCCAUGACCACAAUCUUUUCAAGGGUCUCUUAAAGACCCGCCUGUGAUUGGGGGAAGCGCAAUCC
ensembl:lncRNA